CGCGUAGGUCCACAUCCGGGAUCGGAACCUGUGAACCCUGGGCCUCUGAAGCGAGCGUGAACUUAACCGCUAGGCCACCGUGCCGGCCAUUGGGAGGUUUUUAAUGAAGAGGAAAUCAGGAAAAGUAUCUAAACUCAAGGUGUAUCUAAAAGUGAAUUCCUACCUUUUUUUUUUUUUUUUAAUCUCAAAGAGAAGAAAGACAUGGAAAAGAUAUCAUGGCCAGUGCAAAGAGCACUGGGCCUGGAGUCCAGAGGCCAAGGCUUUUGUCCAGUCUGUGCCAUUAAUAAUCUGCAUGACUGGGUAGGGGUUCCAGUUUGGAUUACAAUUUUUCCUUUUUUUCCUUCCUCACGCAUCACAACUAUAGAAAUAUAAUAAAUAUAUUAGAAGUCUUAAGCCUUUCAAGUCUUGAUUUUAUAGAGACAAAUAAACAAUUUCCAGAAACAGUUCUGAAUUCCAUUCCUCCCUCUAAUCUAAAAAAUUAAAUUGGCUAAUGUACGUUUUAUCAGUUCAUGAAAAGUCGGGUCUGCUCCGAGAUUCACCGGUUUCUGCCUUAAGGGAAAGGGAAUGAUGAGCCGAGAAUGUGAGAAGAGCAGCGCGCGCUGAAUCAGAGUGACUUCCGUGGGAACAUUCUGAAGGAACUCUGUGGUGCAGAGCCUCGCAUGGAGUGAGAACUCAACCCCUGGUUGAGUGAACCGUGAAAUCAACGCCAGACGGGAAUUUUCAAAUAGAUCCGAAGGAUCCAAUGGAUCAAGAGGAAGUGUGCGUCACUUCUGCUUGCCCCAGAGGUUGUAAUGGCCACAGCGGUUGCUAGUCCAAAGGUUCCUCUCCAUCCCUGUGUGUGCAUCUCACUCUGGCCACCGCACCUCCCUAAGAAGUCCUUUUGCUACGCCUCUCCUUUUGUUCCACCUGCGGUUGACAUCUGUUUCUUGCCAGGACCUUGACUGACAGAUACAUCACAAACAGCAGUGCUUCUCAAAUGAUGAGGAGAUUGGAUACCCACGUUGUCCCAUCUGGCUUAAAUCCGUAUUUCUAAAAAGAAACAUGGAAGAAACUGGAGGGAAUUUGGAGAAGAAAACCAACAAUUAUUGGACACCCUUUGUGGAAAGCCACUCUCUAACGAUAGAAGCUAGAAGUUAAAGGCGCGACUACGAUGACCUCUAGGGUUUUAGAAAAUAAGCCGACCUGUUCUCCACCUCCACGCGAGGAAGAGCUUCCCAACUGUAGGUGGGUCGGAUGUUGGAGUUAGGUUUCCAAUGGGGAUUGGGGCCUGGUGAUCUUUAAAACAGAGUCGAGACAGCUGCUUCAGACGGCUUAGGCUGAGGCUGACGAGCUUUCUGAGGCAGCACCCAACUUGUCAGUCAUUUAUUCACCACCAAGUAGUCCAGAGGAGGGCAGGCACCCAAGGCAGAGAUAGUGCAGUCAGGCACACUGUCCCUGGUGUGUAUCCCCCGAUCCUCCCUGCCACCACACAUGCAUACGGUAUUUUGUUCUCCACACCCCUGGCCACACAAAAUCAUCUCGAGGCUAGUCAGCUGCCAAUCAUUGGUGCAAGCAUUUGUCAUCUGGGAUGAAGGGCCCUUCCAGCUUACUGAUUCUGAGAGCGGAGUGAUGGAGCUGUGAUCACCUAAGUCCCUUUAGAAAUACCUUCAGUAAUAAUACAGAGCAUCUGUAGGUUCAGGAAUCACUAAGAGCUUUUUGAUUUGAGAGUAGAAAAAAACGUGCAAAAUUUGGAUUUGUCACAGUACAUAUCAUGGCCAAUACAGUCAUUGCUAAUGAAAGUCAGCUACACAACGGUUGGGUGGUUUUUUUGUGGAGGGUCUCGCUUUGGGAUGCUCUAGGCUUCUGGCAGACUCGCCUCUCUCUACACUACAUGGAGAAGACACAGCUCUCCUACUUCAACUAUGAGCUCUGAAGAGGUAAGAACUACGUAACAUUAAUUUCUGUAUUUGCAGCCCUUAGCACAGCCUUGCACACUGCAGGUGCAGGAUGAAUGUCUAUUCUAUUUCUUUUGGGGGGAGUAGCAGGUAUGCAGUGAACUGCAGCGUUUGGUCUUUAGGAUGAGCUCCCCGGUGUGCACAGGCAAGUGGGAACCCGGUGAAGGCUGGCACGGAGAUGAGGCGCUCACUGUCCCUGGCCCUCCUGCCCUUCGCUCUGCAUUCCCAGCUCCUCCUCAUUCAGAUCUGUGGACGCAGGCAGUGCUCACGCAGCACAUUUCCGUCAGUUCACACUGACGUCUUGACAAGAAUGCUGGAAUUUAUAUUGAGCCUUUCAUCUUUGAAGUUCAAUGUUCUAAGUGGAAUCUUUAUGACUUCCUUGUGAGAUGGGAAAGAGGUGGGGUUUGUUUUUGGAUUUUUUUUUUAUUGAGGUCAUAACAGUUUAUAACAUUGUGAAAUUUCAGUUGCAAAUUCUUGUCAGUCACCAUGUAAAUGUGCCC